UGCAAAAUUGAUAACGACAGAUUUCGACGCGCUUGGAAAACAAUGUUUAAAGUUGUUGUGAGUAAUGUGUGCAAGUGUCUUGUUCACAGGUUUGCAACGUGAAUCGUUUUUUGCUAUACGAACGCAUGCUGCUUAUCAACACGAUGUAUAAAGCUUCAAGACGUAAAUUGUAAGUGUUUACGAUGGAAUCCAAGUGUAUCAGAGAGUAACCCAGAUUUGACUACGCUCCCGACCAUCCUUAUCAUUAUCAGAACCAUGCAAAGCGAGCCAUUAAUCAAUGCAGCAACAUUCGUUGAUACUACAGAAUCGUGUAGCAGCCGAAAAAAGGAUUCGUGGUCGCUUUGUGCGUCUUGUUGCUGAUUCUUGGCAUAAACGGAGGAGCAGAGUCUGCACCUUCACGAGUGGUUACAUCGCUCGAGCACGAACCCCAAGACAAUCCACAUAGAGAAACGGGUAUUUUUGAAUGGGCAUUGCCCGCCCAGGAAUUUCGAGCGAAGAGGAGCAGCAGCAAAAGCAGCAGCAGUAGCAGCAACAAAAGCAGCAGUAGUAGUAAAAGCAGCAGCAGCAGCAGUAGCAGCAACAAAAGCAGCAGUAGUAGUAAAAGCAGCAGCAGCAGCAGCAACAAAAGCAGCAACAAAAGCAGUAAUAGUAGUAAAAGCAGCAACAGCAGCAAAAGCACCAACAAAAGCAGCAGCAACAGCAACAAAGGCAAGAUCAGCAAUCCAUAUAGCGGCGGCAGCGGCAGCAGAAUCAUCAUCAGAGACCAAGCCAGCAGCAUCAGCAGCAAGAGCAGCAGCAGCAGCAUUAGAAAAAAUGGAAAAUAAAAUAUCCAAAUAAGCGUCGUCUCAUCAGAUCAGUACUGGAAGAAAGAAAACAGCUAAACAUGCCUGCAGUAACAUGGAUCAAACAAAAAAAUUACACAUAAAAAUCGGUGGAAUUAAUUGAUCUUUGUAAUUGUGUUCGGCCACACUUUAUGGAAUCUAAGAACCUUUUCUAAUGAAGUUAUAAUAAAAUUACACACCUUUGUGUCGGUA